UAUGCCUGAGUUCAUAUAUUUGUUCUUAGGAACAGAAUAGCUUCAGUCGGAGUCGGAGUCGGAGUCUGGACAAUUUUACCGACUCCGACUCCUCGACUCCGACUCCAACUCCAACUCCACAGCCCUGCUAAAGACAAAAAGUAAUUGCAGACUUCAACAAUUAUAAUCUUUACAUUCUAUUCUCCUGUACCAUAUAUCUCAUUUUCCAUACUGAGAUAUGUUUUGACAACGCUAAAGCAAUACUAUAAUAAUGAUUAACAUGUUUGUGUUACAGGGGCGCGGGUGAGAGUGACGGCACUAUCUAUGGGGACUAUGACGAGGCAGCAUGGCACGGUCAGGAGGGACACCCCUGCCCCAUCAACUACCCGCUCUGUGCCUUCACCGCUCACCAGGGGCGCGGGUGAGAGUGACGGCACUAUCUAUGGGGACUAUGACGAGGCAGCAUGGCACGGUCAGGAGGGACACCCCCCAUCAACUACCCGCUCUGUGCCUUCACCGCUCACCAGGUUAUGGACGAGUACCGCAAAUACGUCACGAACAACGAAACUUUUGUAUAGACAACCGAUAAAUGUAUAAAAAAUAUAUGAUUUGACGUUGAUGAAUACCAUGAAAUGUGAUUAAUUACAUGGACAAUAAAGCCUGUAAUAUACUAUA